AUUGAACGCUGGCGGCAGGCCUAACACAUGCAAGUCGAACGAGUGGCGGACGGGUGAGUAAUGUCUGGGCAACUGCCUGAUGGAGGGGGAUAACUACUGGAAACGGUAGCUAAUACCGCAUACCAUCGGAUGUGCCCAGAUGGGAUUAGCUAGUAGGUGGGGUAAAGGCUCACCUAGGCGACGAUACCUAGCUGGUCUGAGAGUAUGAAAAGUCACACUGUAACUGAGACACGGUCCAGACUCCUACGGGAGUCAGCAGUGGGGAAUAUUGCACAAAGGGCGCCAGCCUGAUGCAGCCAUGCCGCGUGCAGGAAGAAGGCCUUCGGGUUGUAAAGUACUUUCCGCGGGGAGGCGUUACCAGCAGAAGAAGCACCGGCUAACUCCGUGCCAGCAGCCGCGGUAAUUC
rnacentral:rRNA from 1 species